GAUUUUGAAGAGAGAAUAUUUUACUUUGAAAAUUAUAUAAAAUCCAAGCCAAUUAUUUUACGGGGUGAAGUGAAACUUACUUAGCUUACGCUAAUUUUUGUCUAUUCUUUAUCUUUUUGUAUUAAUUUACUUUACAGG